CGGAGAUUUUAGCAAUAAAAUCUUAGUGGCGAACGGGUGAGUAACGCGUAGACAACCUGCCUUCCAGAUGGGGACAACACCGCGAAAGUGGUGCUAAUACCGAAUGUUGUAUUUUGGGUGCAUGCCUGAGAUACGAAAGGUGGCCUCUAUUUAUAAGCUACCGCUGGAAGAUGGGUCUGCGUCUGAUUAGCUAGUUGGUGGGGUAACGGCUCACCAAGGCGACGAUCAGUAGCCGGUCUGAGAGGAUGAACGGCCACACUGGGACUGAGACACGGCCCAGACUCCUACGGGAGGCAGCAGUGGGGAAUCUUCCGCAAUGGACGAAAGUCUGACGGAGCAACGCCGCGUGAGUGAAGAAGGUUUUCGGAUCGUAAAACUCUGUUUUCAGGGACGAAUGUGCUGUUUGUAAAUAAUGAACAGCAAUGACGGUACCUGACAAGAAAGCCACGGCUAACUACGUGCCAGCAGCCGCGGUAAUACGUAGGUGGCAAGCGUUGUCCGGAAUUAUUGGGCGUAAAGCGCGCGCAGGUGGGAUAUUAAGUCUGGUGUUAAAGUUCGGGGCUCAACCCCGUGAAGCAUUGGAUACUGAUAUUCUUGAGUGCAGGAGAGGAAAGUGGAAUUCCUAGUGUAGCGGUGA
rnacentral:rRNA from 1 species